AGACCCACCGGCAGACAGGCGGACCGGGCGCUCGGCUGUCGCUGUUCUCCGCGCGGCGGCUGCGGGGCUUCUGACUUGGAGAACAAUGAAGCGUGAGCUGGAGGGGAGCGAGCGGGCCGCCGGGAGCGCACUGUGUACAAACAGAGGCGGCGUGCGUAGAAGAAGUGGGGCAAGUUUGGGAACUGUGCAAGAACAUAAAGGCAAAGACAGACCCUUGAAGCAUCACUAAGAAUGAUUGCUUAUUGUACAUGGAUCCAAUUCCAGCAGUUACAGAGAGGGAGGUAGGGAGAGAGACAAACACAGAGCUAGAGAAAUUGAAAGAGAAACAUUCUCGAAGGCAAAGAGUUGAAAGGUGAAUCUACUAAGAAAAGAAUAACAGAGUGCAAUUAGCCAUGGAACUACAUCUCCAUCUGCCUCCUUUAAAGGAUGAGUCCUUUAAAGAGCCUUUGGAAGGAAUUGGGCCAUGAGAAGAGCCCUCAUGAAUGGGAUUAGUUCCCUUAUAAGAAGAGACACCAAGGAAGUGAUCUUUCUCUGCCCUCUGCUAUGUGAAGACAAGGUAAGAAGACAGCUAUGAACCAAGAAGCAGGCCCUUACCAGACACCAAAUCUGCUGGUGCAUUGAUCUUGGACUUCUCAGCCUCCAGGACUGUGAGAAAUAAAUGUUUAUUGUUGAAGCCA
rnacentral:lncRNA from 10 species